UGGGGGAUAUUGCACAAUGGGCGAAAGCCUGAUGCAGCGACGCCGCGUGGGGGAUGAAGGCUUUCGGGUUGUAAACCUCUUUCGCUAUCGAACAAGGCCCGCUUAGGGUGGGUUGAGGGUAGGUGGAGAAGAAGCGCCGGCUAACUACGUGCCAGCAGCCGCGGUAAUACCUAGGGCGCGAGCGUUGUCCGGAAUUAUUGGGCGUAAAGGGCUUGUAGGCGGCUUGUUGCGCCUGCUGUGAAAACGCGGGGCUUAACUUCGCGCGUGCAGUGGGUACGGGCAGGCUUGAGUGUGGUAGGGGUGACUGGAAUUCCAGGUGUAGCGGUGGAAUGCGCAGAUAUCUGGGGGAACACCGAUGGCGAAGGCAGGGCACUGGGCCAUUACUGACGCUGAGGAGCGAAAGCAUGGGUAGCGAACAGG
rnacentral:rRNA from 1 species